AUACACAACGAGAGGUUUAAUAGCACCCCGGCCAUUUUACCCCUCCCUAGGGCCCAAUAGAUCCCAGAUUAUUCUACCACUCUCUGGAGACUGUUUUAUCCUCCCGUCCGUUGCCUGCCUGUCCGUUGUCCGUCUGUCUAUUGUCUGUCCGUCCAUUGUCGGUCUGUCCGUUGUCCGCCCGCCCGUUGUCGAUCCGCCCGUUGUUUGUCUGUCUGUUGUCCGUCUAUUCGUCGUCCGUCUGUCCGUCCCUUGUUCGUCCGUCCGCUGUUUGUUUGGCCGUUGUGCGUCCGCCCGCUGUCUGCCCGUUGUCCGCCCGUCCGUUGUUAGUCCGUUUGUUGUCUGUCUACCCAUCCGUUGUCCGUCUGUCCGUUGUCCAUCCGUCCGCUAUCUUUCCGUCCGUUGUCUUCCGUUUGUUAUUUGUCUGUCGAUCCGUUCCCCGUUUGUUCAUUAACUGCCUGCCCGAUAUCGGUCCACCCGCUGUCUGUCUGUCCGUCCGUCUGUUGUGAGUCCGCCAGUUCUCUGUAUGACCGUCUGUUGUCUGACCAUCCGUUGUUCGUCUUUUAGUUGUCCGUCUGUCCGUGUCCGUUCCGUCCGAUGGCUGAGUGUUCGUCCGUCCGUCCCUUCGUUGUCCGUUCGUUGUCCGUCCGCUGUCCGUCCGCACUUAUCCGUCCGUCUAUUGUCUAUCGGUUCGUUGUCCGUCCGUCCGUCGUCCGUCCGCUCUUCGUCCGUUCUUCGUCCGUCCGUAUGUUGACCGUCCGUUCGUCCGUUGUACGUCCGUCCAUUGUCCGUCCCUCCGUCCCUCCGUCCGUAUGUUGUCCAUCCGUCCGUCCGUCCGUUCGUUCUUCGCCCGUCCAUUCUCAGUCCGUCGUCCAACAUUCCGUCGCCCGUUCGUCCGUCCGUCGUCCGUCCAUUCGUUGUCCGUCCUUCUGUUCAUCGUCCGUUCUUCCUCCGUCCGUCCAUCGUCCGUCCGUCGGUUCGUCCGUCCGUUGUCCGUUCGUCCGUCCGUUGUCCGUCCGUUGUCCGUCCGUCCGUCCGUUGUAAGUCCGUCCGUCCGCUCUUUGUCCGUUCAUCGUCCGUCCGCUCUCUGUCUGUUGUCCGUCCCUCCGUCCGUCCGUUGUCCGUCAAUUCGUCCGUCCGUCCGUCGUCUGUCAGUCGUCCGUCCCUCCGUUGUCCCUCCGUCCUUCUGUUCUUCGUCCGUUCUUCGUCCGUCCGUCGAUCCGUCCGUCCGUUGUCCGUCCGCCUGUCCGUUCUCUGCCCGUCCAUCCGUCCGUUGUCCGUCCGCCUGUCCGUUCUCUGCCCGUCCAUCCGUCCGUUGUCCGUCUGUUGUAUGUCCGUUUGUUCUCUGCCCGUCCUUUGUCCGGCUGUCUGUCCGUCGUCUGUCAGGACAAGAACGGACAACGGGCGGGCAAUGAACGGGCGGACGGACAGGCAACAGACGGACAGACAAUAAACGGACAGACAAUAGACGGACGGACAACAGAAGACAGACGGACGGAUGGACGGACGGAAAACGUACAGACAGAUUACGGACGAACGGACGGACAGACAACAGACGGACAGAUAACAAACGGACGGACGAAGGCCGGACAACAAACGGACGAACGUACAGACAACGAAGAGACGGAGAGACAACAAACGGACGCACAACGAACGGACGGAGGUACAACGGACGGACAACGAACAGACGGACAGACAACAGACUUACGAACAACGGACGGACAGAUAACGAGCAGACAAGCAGCGAACAGACUUGCAUCGGACGGACAGUGAACUGGCGGAAAAGACAGGCAACAAACAGACAUCAGACGUACGGGCAACGGAAAGACAGAAAUAGGACAGACAGACAACGACCAGGCAGAUAUAAAUAUAUGUAAAUACACGAAUGGACAGACAUCGAACUGACAGACAACGAACAAAAAAUAAACAGACAGACGGACAACGGAUGGACAGACAGCGGACGGGAGGGGUAAAAUAGCCAAGGAUCUAUACGGCCCUAGGGAGGGGUGAAAUAGCCAGGGAUCUAUUCGGCCCCAAAAGGGGGGGGGGGGGGAAAAUAGCCACUCCGCAAGAAAAAACCUGUAAACCAUGUAGAGAACCAUAAUGGAAAACCAUUUUGUACAGAACCGUAAACAAGCACCCAUCGGCUAAACAAAAUGUAUUCAGAAACGACUUGACGAGUGUUGCAUGCGGAACGAACAACAGAUGGAUGAAAACUUCGUUGACCGUCAAGACAACAGCAGAAAAAAAAAUGACAUGAGAUAGGAACUCGCUGAAAAACCACAGUGGGCUCUUGAACGGACAUGUGGAAUUACGAAGUCGAUAGCUGCAAUUGUGUAAUAAUUUUGCGCACAGAUCAUAUAACUUCAAACGAGGCUGAGCUAUGGUUAUUCUUCCAUCCAUUUGAUUUCGAAAAUGAGCGAUUCAUAAAAUAUGAUGCUCGAAUUAGGUUCAUUUGAUUAAUUUUGAAAUUGAUGAUGUAAACCAUUAUAAACUGAUUGCU
rnacentral:rRNA from 1 species